rnacentral:rRNA from 1 species
AGUCACUGACAUUAGAUACCCCUGUAGUCCAGGGUGUAAACGCUGCAGACUUGGUGUUGGAAAUCCUUCGAGGGUAUUCAGUGCCGGAGAGAAGUUGUUAAGUCUGCUACUUGGGGAGUACGUCCGCAAGGAUGAAACUUAAAGGAAUUGGCGGGGGAGCACCGCAACGGGAGGAGCGUGCGGUUUAAUUGGAUUCAACGCCGAAAAACUCACCAGCAGCGACUGUUACAUGAAAGUCAGGUUGAUGACCUUACUAGAUUUUCAG